rnacentral:rRNA from 1 species
UACCCGCUGAACUUAAGCAUAUCAAUAAGCGGAGGAAAAGAAACUAACAAGGAUUCCCCUAGUAACGGCGAGUGAAGAGGGAAGAGCUCAAAUUUUGAAUCUGGCGUCUUUGGCGUCCGAAUUGUAAUCUAGAGAAGUGUUUUCCGUGACGGACCGUGCAUAAGUCUCCUGGAAUGGAGCGUCAUGGAGGGUGAGAAUCCCGUAUAUGGCACGGACUCCCGUUGCUCUGUGAUACACUCUCGACGAGUCGAGUUGUUUGGGAAUGCAGCUCUAAACGGGUGGUAAAUGCCAUCUAAAGCUAAAUAUUGGCGAGAGACCGAUAGCGAACAAGUACCGUGAGGGAAAGAUGAAAAGCACUUUGGAAAGAGAGUGAAACAGUACGUGAAAUUGUUGAAAGGGAAACGCUUGAAGUCAGUCGCGCCGUUCGGGAUUCAGCCUUGCUUCUGCUCGGUUUACUUCCCGUUGGGUGGGUCAACAUCAGUUUCGGUCGGAGGAGAAAGACUUGGGGAAGGUGGCAGCAUUCGUGCUGUGUUAUAGCCCCUUGUUGUAUACUUCGACUGGGACUGAGGAUCGCAGCACGCCUUUGGCCGGGGUUCGCCCACGUACGUGCUUAGGAUGUUGGCAUAAUGGCUUUAAGCGACCCGUCUUGAAACACGGACCAAGGAGUCUAACAUGUGUGCGAGUGUUUGGGUGUCAAACUCGGAUGCGAAAUGAAAGUGAAAAGUUGGGAACACUUAUGUGUGCACCGACGCCCGGAGCUGACCUUCUGUGACGCAUCUGCGGUAGAGCAUAUAUGUUGGGACCCGAAAGAUGGUGAACUAUGCCUGAAUAGGGUGAAGCCAGAGGAAACUCUGGUGGAGGCUCGUAGCGAUUCUGACGUGCAAAUCGAUCAUCAAAUUUGGGUAUAGGGGCGAAAGACUAAUCGAACCAUCUAGUAGCUGGUUCC